GACGAACGCUGGCGGUGUGCUUAACACAUGCAAGUGGUGCGACGAACCAGAGCUUGCUCUGGGGCAAAGCCGCGAACGGGUGAGUAACACGUGGGUAAUCUACCCCGAUGACCGGGACAACCCGAGGAAACUCGGGCUAAUACCGGAUGUGGUACGGAGACAUAAGUCUCUUUACUAAAGGUAGCUUCGGCUUCCGCAUUGGGAGGGGCCCGCGGCCCAUUAGCUAGUUGGUGGGGUCAAGGCCUACCAAGGCAACGAUGGGUAGCUGGUCUGAGAGGACGAUCAGCCACACUGGGACUGAGACACGGCCCAGACUCCUACGGGAGGCAGCAGUGGGAAUCUUGCGCAAUGCGCGAAAGCGUGACGCAGCAACACCGCGUGAGGGAAGACGGCCUUAGGGUGUAAACCUCUUUCAGAUGGGACGAAGGUGAUGCGUGAAUAGCCGAUGUCAUUGACGGUACCGUCAGAAGAAG
rnacentral:rRNA from 1 species